UGGGGAAUCUUGCGCAAUGGGCGAAAGCCUGACGCAGCGACGCCGCGUGGGGGAAGAAGGCCUUAGGGUUGUAAACCUCUUUCAGGGGGGACGAAGCCACUCGGGUUAAUAGCCCAGAGGGUGACGGUACCGCCAGAAGAAGCCCCGGCUAACUACGUGCCAGCAGCCGCGGUAAUACGUAGGGGGCAAGCGUUGUCCGGAUUUAUUGGGCGUAAAGAGCGUGUAGGCGGCCAGGUAGGUGGGUUGUGA
rnacentral:rRNA from 1 species